GUUGUAUAGUCAAGUAAUUAAGUGCAUGUGGUGGAUGCCUUGGCAGUCAGAGGCGAAGAAAGACGUGAUAGCCUGCGAAAAGCUCCGGGGAGGCGGCAAAUAUCCUUUGAUCCGGAGAUGUCUGAAUGGGGAAACCCACUUACCAUAAGGUAGGUAUCAAUACAUGAAUACAUAGUGUAUUGAGGCGAACGAGGGGAAGUGAAACAUCUCAGUACCCUUAGGAAAAGAAAUCAAUUGAGAUUCCCUCAGUAGCGGCGAGCGAAAGGGGAACAGCCCAUUAAGUUAUGUGUGUUUUAGUGGAAUGCUCUGGGAAGUGCAACCAUAGUGGGUGAUAGUCCUGUACACGAAAGGGCACACAUAAUGAUGACGAGUAGGGCGAGGCACGUGAAACCUUGUCUGAAUAUGGGGGGACCAUCCUCCAAGGCUAAAUACUCCUGACUGACCGAUAGUGAACCAGUACCGUGAGGGAAAGGCGAAAAGAACCCCUGUGAGGGGAGUGAAAUAGAUCCUGAAACCGCAUGCAUACAAGCAGUGGGAGCC
rnacentral:rRNA from 1 species